AACUUUGUUGACGAAGAGAGUCAGCUGCAGAAGACAGUUGACUUCCUCAGAAGGCUGACAUAAACAACUUUUCUCCUAUCAGACUGAGGCCAGGGUUUCAACCAGUGCCACAAACUGAUUGAUCCGUAGAAAAUGGUGUGACUGAUCAUCAACGCCUGCAGGUACGUGCUGCAGAAAAUCCGGGCCGCAAUGGGAGGAGAGGCAGAGCCGGAGAAACAGAACAUCGCAGCAUGUAGCCAGGCUAAAGGGGGUGAUGGCAGGAGGAUGCAGGGGAAGGGACUGAGCGUUGAGCCAGGUGUUGAGCCGAGCUUCAUGCCAGUACCAAGCCACGAGGGCUCAGACCUCAGGGUUGAGGAGUGCGGAUCCUGAGGGUAAAUUGAGAGCUUGGAUGUAUACAGGAGGCUAAAAAAUGUGGAGCCAUGCACAUACACACAACCACACACUCCUCCUUGCAACAAAUCCACUCGCUGUAAAGCUUCAGCCAGAAGCAAACUAAAAUCUGGGUUGGGGGAGAGACAUGCAACUGAGUCCAGUUAAUCAAGAUACGUAAUACACAAUAUAAAUUAUCUUCUUUUUCUUGACUAAAAAUAAAAACACGUCAUAAUGUACAUGCCUCAGCAAACAGAUAGAAAAACCUCCUGUUCACCUCCAGCUCUCAGUUUCACUCCUGUGCUGCUGAAAUUCCCCUUGUAAUCGAACGCGCAGCUGAAGUUGGCAGACAGAAUGAAAGCCUGACCACCAAUUCCCCAGCAGAGGAACCGAUCAGGCUGGAAAAAUAUUGUAUGUGGACGACGCUGUGCUCAGGCAUUUAUUCAUGUACUCACAAGACUAUUCUUUUUUAUUGACUGUACUAUUUUCAAUAAAAAAUGAGCAUCUCUU